rnacentral:lncRNA from 1 species
CUUUACUUUGCCAACUUUUCAGAAGCCUAACGUUCAUCAGUGCUGACAAUAUACCUAUUUUUUGCUGUGUUUUGAAGGCACUGUGCAUAGUGGCCUUUUUUGAUCCAUGAAGUAGGAAGAACUUGGAUGACGUGUGGUGAAGCAGCAUAGUAAAGCAUGAGUAUUUCCUGGUCUCCGGACCACUGGAUGAUUUCAAUACUCAGGAGGUGCAGGCACAAAGAGGAAGAGGCAGCAGCCCUAGCCCUUUGCUCUGUGAUGCACCUCAACCACUGUGGAUAUGUUGGGGCAGUCAGGGUCUGGUUAAAGAAGGGCACUCUUUGGCCAGCCUCUGGCAACUCUCUGUGGGCAUGCUGCUUCAGCCCAUGCAGGAUCUCCUAG